AGAGGCUUAGGCUAAUAAUUAAACCAAGGGCCUUCAAAGCCCUAAUUGAGGGUGAAAACCCCCCAGCCCCUG
rnacentral:tRNA from 1 species